rnacentral:misc_RNA from 1 species
GCAAGACUAGUAACUCAAGGGAAGUAUAUCAGGGAGGAGAGCCGUGACUGCAAGCUCUCUAUAUGAAAGCUGGGUGAAUUCACUUGCGCAUGGAUUUAGAAAUGAAGGUCUGACUUGUCAGAUGAAAACGGAUGGUACCGCGUGUCAACGCUCCGAGUGGAGUUUUUGGCAUGUGGUUUUCUUUUUA